rnacentral:rRNA from 1 species
GACGAACCGUGCGAACGUUGUUCGGAUUCACUGGGCUUAAAGGGCGCGUAGGCGGAUCACCAAGUCCGGGGUGAAAUCUUUCGGCUCAACCGGAAAAGAGCCUUGGAUACUGGUGGUCUGGAGGGAGGUAGGGGCUUGCGGAACUUCCGGUGGAGCGGUGAAAUGCGUAGAUAUCGGAAGGAACGCCGGUGGCGAAAGCGGCGUGCUGGACCUCUUCUGACGCUGAGGCGCGAAAGCCAGGGGAG